CCAACCAGUAGAUCAGAAAGUUGCAUAAAAAAAAAGGUAUACAAAACAGCAAAACUAGAGCUCAAGUUACAGCGGCAAGGAGCAAGGUCAGUCAUAUACUUCUGAUAAAUAAAAAGGGACUACCAAAGUGAGUCACAAAAAUUUUGCGAAGCACUCGAUGAAGAAAGCAAUGACCAUCAUUAGUAUGCAUCGAUGAUUGAGUUAUGAUGUAAUCUUCAUUUUACGGUAAAGAUAACAUCAAUUAAAGAAAAAUGGUAAGCGACAAACAGUGGCAUGCGUUAAAAAGUAAUAAUAGCUCAAAACUACAACCGACAAAGCAAGCUGCCAGAGCCGCCAAUACAACAUGUUAGUUAACUCGUAGACAAAAGUUCAAACCUUUGCGAUAAAAACAAAUUCAGCACUCGAUAAAUAAAGCAAUGACCAUCAUUAGUAUGCAUCGAUGAUUGAGUUAUGAUGGAAUCUUCAUUAAAGAUAACAUCAAUUAAAGAAAAACGGUAAGCGACAAACAGUGGCAAGCGUUAAGAAGUAAUAAUAGCUCAAAACUACAACCGAC
rnacentral:lncRNA from 1 species